CGUAAGGGUAAGAUCCCAGGAAGACUACCUGGUUGAUAGGUCGGAGGUGUAAGUGCAGCAAUGUAUGUAGCUUACCGAUACUAAUAGAUCGAGGACUUGACCAA
rnacentral:rRNA from 1 species